GUGGGGAAUCUUGCGCAAUGGGCGAAAGCCUGAUCCAGCCAUGCCGCGUGUGUGAAGAAGGUCUUCGGAUUGUAAAGCACUUUAAGUUGGGAGGAAGGGCAGUAAGUUAAUACCUUGCUGUUUUGACGUUACCGACAGAAUAAGCACCGGCUAACUUCGUGCCAGCAGCCGCGGUAAUACGAAGGGUGCAAGCGUUAACCGGAAUUACUGGGCGUAAAGCGCGCGUAGGUGGUUUUGUAAGUUGGAGGUGAAAUCCCCGGGCUCAACCUGGGAACUGCCUCCAAAACUGCAUGACUAGAGUACGGUAGAGGGUAGUGGAAUUUCCUGUGUAGCGGUGAAAUGCGUAGAUAUAGGAAGGAACACCAGUGGCGAAGGCGACUACCUGGACUGAUACUGACACUGAGGUGCGAAAGCGUGGGGAGCAAACAGGAUUAGAAACCCUUGUAGUCC
rnacentral:rRNA from 1 species